rnacentral:tRNA from 1 species
AGUAAUAUGCCUGAUAAAAGGAAUAUUUUGAUGAAAUAUAUAUGUAAUUUUUACUAUUACUU